rnacentral:rRNA from 1 species
UUCGCAAUGCCCGAAAGGGUGACGAAGCGACGCCGCGUGCGGGAAGAAGGCCUUCGGGUUGUAAACCGCUGUCGGGAGUUAAGAAAUGCAAGGAUGUUAACAGCGUCCUUGCUUGACUAAGGCUCCGGAGGAAGCCACGGCUAACUCUGUGCCAGCAGCCGCGGUAAUACAGAGGCGGCAAGCGUUGUUCGGAAUUAUUGGGCGUAAAGAGCACGUAGGCGGCCGUGUAAGUCGGUUGUGAAAGCCUUCCGCUCAACGGAAGGACGGCAUCCGAUACUGCAUGGCUCGAGUGCGGGAGGGGAGAGUGGAACUUCUGGUGGAGCGGUGAAAUGCGUAGAUAUCAGAAGGAACACCGGCGGCGAAGGCGACUCUCUGGCCCGUAACUGACGCUGAGUGUGCGAAAGCUAGGGGAGCAAACGGGAUUAGAUACCCCGGUAGUCCUAGCCGUAAACGAUGGGCACUAAGUAGAGGGGUUUU